ensembl:lncRNA
AUGCCCUUCACUGCAGGCUGUGCUUGGAUGGUGCCGUGGGGCCAAGGGAUGCACCCCGAGGCUGGGUGGCUGCCCUUGCACUGCUCUAUUUGCUCUGCAUGUGGAGACCAAGGCACAAAUGCCAGAGCAACCUCCCCAACCAUUAGCAUAUAUGCAAAGAGCACUUUCGAGCAUCAUCACCACACGAAAAACUCUGGCAGUUUCAGCAGAGGACAGCAGCCGGGGUGCUGGGGGUGCCCCAUGGGGACCCGUCCCUCGGGCAGCUGGGGGUGUCCCCAGCUCUGCUCUGGGGACCCAACCCAACCGUCCCUGCUCUGGGAACCCGUGGUGGCACGGGAGAGACCCCAGAUGGAAGGGAACCGGGGUGGGGGUGGUUACUGCUCCGCUUCCCACCCCCAGCUUCUGCUUUUACUCCUCAUUUUAUUGAUCUUUAAUUUCUUUUCGCUUUCAGUCAUCGCAGCCCACUUGGGCUCCCUGGAGAGGAGCCGGCACCAGCGUGCCUCCCGGGAGGGGGCCUGGGGCGCGGGGGCCGGGGUCUCCCCGCACGCGAGCGCAGCGGUGCAGGGCCGGCCCCUGUCCUCCUCCCAAGCCCCUCUCCACCUGCACGGCAAUUUCAGCCUCGCUUUCCGUGGCACCGAGGUGGUUCUUUGCCCAGCUUUGCUGUAUUUUAAGAUGAGUUCAGAUAGAUGUUUAUUUCCAAGUAAUAUUUUUUUUUUGGCUUUUGCCACUGUGAUUGUUUGUGGAGAGGAAAUAUUGAACAGAAGCCACAAAUCAAAGCCUCAGAUACUAAUUUGUGCUUAUGUAAAUGUGACAGGGGUGGAAGCCCCAGUUCAGGCACGUAACUCCUGGGCCUCGCAAUCGGUGCAAGUACCGGCGGUGGGUGCGCGAUCCCCCUGCUCAGGCCAUGGGAUCCCCCUGCCCCCCUGCCUGUCCCCACGCUGUGCCCCCCGGUGGCACGGCCCCGCCGGCCCCAGCCCUGCACCCAGCGCCGGGAGCCAGCUGCUGGUCACCAUGGAGACCCGGAGGAGGAUUUGGAACCAUCGCAGAGAAAUUUCAGCAUUCCCCUGGCCAUGCACAGCCCGUGCUCUCUCCUGGCUGCGGUUUUGUUCUGCCCAGCCCCAAGCAGGGCGGCAGAGCUGUUUGCAGGACAGUGCACCCCGAUCCCCCCUGAGGGCAGCCACCAAGGCGCCAGCUGGUGCCGACCCAGCACGGAGCCUGCCGCUGGCAUUUCCCAGCCUUGGGACAGCACCCAGGUGUGCUCCUGUGGUGGGGCUGAGUCCUCCUGGCCCUCUGAGGGGCUUGCGUCUCCUGCGGAUUGUUCUUAAUCUGCCCCGUCCCAGAGGUUUGCCCAUAGAGGCUGAGCCCACUGCCACCAGCAAGAACCUGAGGAAUGGGUUUUGUUUCAGAAACAAGAGUUUCUGUUGCUGUUCGCUGCUGCUGGGUUUCUCGGUUCUUGGAGGACAUCGAACCUCUGGCUGCCUUGUAGCAGCGAGGGUCAGCGCAGUGGGACGGAGCGGGGUGGUGGGGCUUGGCUGCAGGUCGCUGGGUGCCCAGAUUUGGGCAGAGGGGCUGCUGGAGCCAGCAGGACGGGUGGGAGCAAGGGCUCGGAGGAAGGGGAAUGCUAAUCAGGCUGUGUGCUGGCAGCAGCCAGAAUGCUGCACAAUAAAUAGCCAUUUUAAUUACUGCACAAUAUUUACAAGAUUGCUUCCUCAUUUGGGAAAUUAA